UGUUCACUUUCUGAAGAUUCAUCUCUUAUAACUUUUGGGCUUUAUCUCUGGAGAUGAUUUCUCCAUUGCUAGCAAUCCGUCUGUCUCUGUCUCCCUCACAAUUUCAUACUCGACGUGACAUUCAAUCUAUCGCCAAGAAAGAGGUCGCCGAUACGCCCGGUGAGGAAUUCCAGUACCAAGCCGAGAACUGCAAUGGUUGGAGAGUGAACCUAAUGUGACAAUCCUGUGUAAAGAUUGCAUUGAUGGGUUUCCUGGUUUGAUUGAGAAAGACGGUUCUAAUGUGUUUGUAAAUUGGGUUAAGAGCAAUCAGAUCAAAACUGUUACAAGCAAUAAUCCAGGUUGCCAUUAACGUCGUCUUUGUUGCCGCUGUUCACUCAGAAGGGACUAAUUAUUGGGUGUUUUCCGCGCAGACGUCCAUUUUGGGAAAGCUUAGUAAUUCUGCUCGUCAUAGUGUUUUAUGCAUUCCAAGGAAGCCAGUUGGGAUAUCAUGGUGUAAUGUUGAUGCCAAAGAGGAGUUUGUCAGACCUUAUAAUGAUGUUAGAUUGCAUAACCAGCAUAAAUCGUCCAGGCAUACAGUUGUACAAUGUGGACUUGUUGAAACUGGAACCCUUGAUGAAGCCUUACCAGAAGUAAAUAUGGUCUAAGAAGUUAGGGGGCUGUGCUUUUAAUGACAUUUCUCUUUGCACUUAUGGUAGUAGCCCAUCCUUUUGUUCUGUUGUUGGAUGGAUAUAGAAGAGGUCCUCAUAUAUUCAUUGCCAAAAUUUGGGCCACGUUUGCUGUUACUCUUAUUUUUUUUGUUUAUUCAAUUGUGAUUUCAGUUCAAAGAAUUGAUAUUGGCAAUUACUUUAUGUACAAUGUUCAUGGCACACUUGGGAUUAUAUGAAUUGAUAAGUAUUUCAGGUUUAAAGUGCAGAUAUGCAUUUUAGCUGGACUUUCUGGACGUCUCUUGUUUCCUUCCUAUUUCAGUCAAAACUAUGAUCAUUUAUUGCAGUUCGUCUGAUGAAUCUUGCCACCUUGCAUUAAUCUCCAUAUUAGGUACAGUUCCUUCCAAGAAUUUUGUUCAUCAUGUAGUUCCAAAGGUCCUAGUUCCUGCUUGCAGAAGUCACAGGAUAUUGAAAAUUCAACAUUAUUUUCAUCAGAAGGGUUAAAAUGUGACCUAUGUUGAGAAAGUCUCAUGCAUCAACAUCGGGGCAGCAAUGGUGGUGUUUGGAUCAAUGAAGAAGCAGAGAUAAAUGAUGUCCUUAUAGCUUUUGGCAGGAUACAAUUUGGAUGUAAAUAUGAUGCCUUGAAAUUUCAAAUGCAUCCGGCACCUGAUAUGUAACUUUUCAAGUUAUUAUAUUUGUAAAGUACUGGCUAAUAAGCAUGUUAACAUAUAUUUAUGCUACUUAUUUACCUAUUACU